UACAGAGGGGGCAAGCGUUAUUCGGAAUUAUUGGGCGUAAAGGGCGCGUAGGCGGCCUGGCAAGUGGAUGGUGAAAUCCCCUCGGCUUAACCGAGGAACUGCCAUCCAGACUGCUUGGCUUGAGACCGGGAGAGGUGAGUGGAAUUCCCAGUGUAGCGGUGAAAUGCGUAGAUAUUGGGAGGAACACCAGUGGCGAAGGCGGCUCACUGGACCGGUACUGACGCUGAGGCGCGAAAGCGUGGGGAGCAAACAGGG
rnacentral:rRNA from 1 species